rnacentral:rRNA from 1 species
AGGACGAACGCUGGCGGCGUGCUUAACACAUGCAAGUCGAGCGGAAAGGCCCUUCGGGGUACUCGAGCGGCGAACGGGUGAGUAACACGUGAGUAAUCUGCCCCUAGCUCUGGGAUAGCUCCGGGAAACCGGGAUUAAUACCAGAUACGACCACUUUAGACAUCUUCUGUGGUGGAAAGAACUUCGGCUAGGGAUGAACUCGCGGCCUAUCAGCUUGUUGGUGAGGUAAUGGCUCACCAAGGCGACGAUCGGUAGCUGGUCUGAGAGGAUGACCAGCAUCACUGGGACUGAGACACGGCCCAGACUCCUACGGGAGGCAGCAGUGGGGAAUAUUGGACAAUGGGCGCAAGCCUGAUCCAGCCAUGCCGCGUGGAUGAUGAAGGCCUUAGGGUUGUAAAGUCCUUUUAACGGGAAGAUAAUGACGGUACCCGUAGAAUAAGCCCGGCUAACUUCGCGCCAGCAGCCGCGGUAA